rnacentral:lncRNA from 10 species
UGGAAUGUGGCCUUGGGAACCAGUCAGCUUCUCCCCCUCCUCACACUCCUGUGGCCUCUGUUGCUCCAGCUCUGGUGUCUCUGAGGGGGACCUGGGAGGACUCUCAGCUUUCAACAGAUCAGGCAGGGCCAGAGGGUGGUGGAGAGUAUAGUACCUGCUCGGCAGAGCUGUUGUGAAGAAUAAAUUUGACAACCUGUAUGUGCUGAGUAAACGACAGCUAGCAUUAUCCUGUGGGAGAGAACCAAGAGGAGAGAGGUUAAAGUUGCACAAAACCCUUUCCCCAACACACACAC